rnacentral:rRNA from 1 species
UGGGUAACCUGCCUCAAAGAGGGGAAUAGCCUCCCGAAAGGGAGAUUAAUACCGCAUAAUAUGUUUAAGUCGCAUGACUUUAACAUCAAAGGAUUUUCUUUUAGAACUUCCACUUUGAGAUGGACCCGCGGCGCAUUAGCUAGUUGGUGAGGUAACGGCUCACCAAGGCAACGAUGCGUAGCCGACCUGAGAGGGUGAUCGGCCACAUUGGAACUGAGACACGGUCCAGACUCC